rnacentral:sRNA from 9 species
CAAGGUUCGAUUCGAGCGCAGCGAGAAAGCGUUGCCGCAGGCAACGACCCGAAGGGCGAAGCGCGCAGCGCUGAGUCAUCCUUCCCCCACCACCA